UGGGGAAUAUUGCACAAUGGGCGAAAGCCUGAUGCAGCAACGCCGCGUGAGUGAUGAAGGUCUUCGGAUUGUAAAGCUCUGUCUUUUGGGACGAUAAUGACGGUACCAAAGGAGGAAGCCACGGCUAACUACGUGCCAGCAGCCGCGGUAAUACGUAGGUGGCGAGCGUUGUCCGGAUUUACUGGGCGUAAAGGGUGCGUAGGCGGAUGUUUAAGUGAGAUGUGAAAUACCCGGGCUUAACUUGGGUGCUGCAUUUCAAACUGGAUAUCUAGAGUGCAGGAGAGGAGAAUGGAAUUCCUAGUGUAGCGGUGAAAUGCGUAGAGAUUAGGAAGAACACCAGUGGCGAAGGCGAUUCUCUGGACUGUAACUGACGCUGAGGCACGAAAGCGUGGGUAGCAAACAGGAUUAGAUACCCUGGUAGUCCACGCCGUAAACGAUGAGUACUAGGUGUAGGAAGUAUCGACCCCUUCUGUGCCGCAGUAAACACAUUAAGUACUCCGCCUGGGAAGUACGAUCGCAAGAUUAAAAC
rnacentral:rRNA from 1 species